GUGCUGGCUUCCAUAGCACAUAUACUAAAAUUGGAAUGAUACAGAGAAGAUUAGCAUGGCCCCUGCACAUGGAUGACACACAAAUUCAUAAAGCAUUACAUAUUUUU